CUAAAAUAAUCAGAAGCAUCCAACGUUUCGUUAUUCCUCCUCGCAACCGUUUUCAGUUUCCGGCCACCGGCGAGCACCAAGAACAGCUCAACCCGGUAACUUACCUCUCUUCAACCACGAAAUGCCACGUCACUGUUCGCCGCCAUUUUCAGUUCUAGCUGCAUUUUCACUCUGCUAUUCCUCUGCUCUAUUUCCCCUCUCCCAUGGCGGUUCUCAACCUCCCUUCUCUCAAAUUCCUUCCAUCUCAGAGUGGAGAAAUGAAGACUAUUAUUCUGGUGGGGAGCUUGGUUGGGGAAGUCCUAAGGGGUCUGUUGCUGAAGGGCCUGUAAUGGAGCCUGUUGAGCACUCGUUGUUUGUGUUGGCAGCUGAAAGAACUCGAAGAAAAGAUCCUCUUAGUGGGUUUCAAGUUUAUACUAAUGGGUGGAAUAUCAGUGACCGACAUUAUUGGGCUUCUGUUAGCUUCACUGCAGCUCCAUUGUUUGCUGUUGCUGCAGCCUGGCUCUCGGGGUUCGGCCUUUGCUUAUUCGUCGUUUCUCUUUGUUACUUCUGUUGCGAAAAACGCUCAUACAGCUAUUCUCGAACCGCUUAUGCUCUUUCACUUCUCCUCCUCAUUAUGUUCUCCAUUUCAGCAAUCAUUGGUUGUGUCAUUUUAUACACUGGACAAGGAAGGUUUCACAAUAGUUCAUCAAAAACAUUGGAAUAUGUUGUAAGUCAAGCGGAUUUCACUGCUCGAAAGCUUCGGGAUGUAUCGGAUUACUUUGCUGCAGCCAAGCAAACCGGAGUCGAUCAAGUGUUCUUGCCUUCUGAUGUUCAAACCGAUAUCGAUCAAAUCGAGAUAAAGAUCAACUCUUCUGCUAGUGUUCUUGAUGAAAAAGCUGUUCAUAACUCAAAUGACAUAAAAGAUCUCCUUGAUUCUAUUCGUCUGGCUCUGAUAAUCGUGGCGGCGAUCAUGCUUUUGUUGACGUUUCUUGGAUUUUUGUUCUCCAUAUUUGGUAUGCAAGUUCUUGUGUACAUCCUGGUGAUAACUGGUUGGUUACUUGUCACCGGGACGUUCGUCUUAUCUGGCACGUUUCUUGUUCUUCACAAUGUGGCUGCAGAUACUUGUGUUGCAAUGGACCAAUGGGUCCAGAAUCCGAGCGCCCACACGGCCUUAGACGACAUUCUUCCUUGUGUCGAUAAAGUGACUGCUCAAGAAACCCUGGUAAAAAGCAAGGAAGUGAGUGCACAACUCGUCGAUCUGAUCAACGAGGUGAUCACCAAUGUCUCGAACAUAAAUUUUUCGCCGAACUUCAAACCGAUGUACUUCAACCAAUCCGGUCCCGUUAUGCCAACGCUCUGUAACCCGUUUCACCAUCCGGACUUGACACCGAGAGCUUGCUCUUCCGGUGAAGUAGACUUGCAAAAUGCUACACAAGUAUGGGGCAGCUAUGUCUGCCAAGUUUCGCCUACCGGUGAUAUAUGCAUCACGACGGGGCGAUUGACUCCGAGCUUAUACAGCCAGAUGACGAGCGGAGUCAACUUAAGCUAUGCGCUAUCGAACUACGGUCCUACAUUGGUCGAGCUCCAAGACUGCACGUUUGUUCGUCAAACGUUCGAUGACAUACAUAGACAGUACUGUCCUGGUUUACAACAAUACAGCAGAUGGGUGUAUGUAGGAUUAGCAACCGUCUCCAUUGCCGUUAUGCUGUCUCUGAUACUAUGGAUUAUAUACGGUCGAGAGCGGCGCCACCGUGCUUAUACGAAAGGACUAACUACUAAACCAACCGGGGAAGAGUGGGAGGGAAACAAAGAAUCUUGAAAACUCUUGGUUCUAUGCUGUUGGUAUGCAUUGCAGGGAGUUCAAGACGGGACGAGCGACCGGUACGAAUGGCGGUUUGGAAACGGAGUCUACGAAAGCCUUGGGCUUCCGUGUGUGCCGCCAUCGUGAUCUGCUCCGAUGAUCGUGAUUUUCGUCCACGUCGUUUCACGUGGUUCCGCUUAAUCCGUCCCGUUCAUUCCGGUGCCAGGAAGGACGAUAGAGGAACGUGGAGAAUCAGAAGUCGAUGCGCUUUAGGUUUAGCGAGCUUGAUUCUCGCAAUCGAGUUCGGUGACGUCUCCGUCGCCGUUGAAACUCAGGCUCUCGAAUCGCCGCCGCAAGUUGUAGAUUCGAGGCGUGUAAAGAUCUCGAGAUGGAGCGACAAAAGAAAAUGCGCUCAAUGGCGAGCCAAUUCGCUCGAGAUUAUCGUGCCUGAGAACCUUCCGAGGCCGUCGCAGCGCCGGAAGUGGGAGACAAUAGCAUUUACGGAUGUGGAGAACGCACCGGCAGUUCAAGUAAUUUCUUCCAAAUUUGGCUCCAAGUACUGUUUCUCUUUAUAAAUAUCUAUUGCCUCGCCUAGACUCAAUUGUAGAUACUAGCUUCUAAGUCGAUUUUAUCAAUCACUUCAAUGGCUAUUCGAUGACUGCUAUUAUUGA